CUCGGUCAGGUUGUCAUCCUGUAGGUGUGUGCCAUCCCCACCUAUGUGUUUUUUCACCCAGGAGCGUAAUUGUAGGUAAGUAAAAUAUGCUUUGGAAGGUAAAUUAAACGUUUUGGAUAUCGAGUCAUAGUCCAUUAAGCGGCCUUUUGACAUUAUCUGGGAUAGACAGGUAAUUCCGCUAUUGUACCAUAUGUUAUAGUCAAAUCCAGGAAUGAGGACAUGAAACGCUUGGAUUUGUAGUGCCGGGGAAAUAUAGGUGGUAUGGUAGUGUUCUUUAACGUAUCUAUCCCAUAUUAGGAGUGUUGCUGCGGUGGUGGGGCAUAUGUUCUGGUAUUUUGGUCGGCUAUGCUUGGGGAUCCAAGCUAGGGUUGAUGCCGCUAUCCCGUCGGUGUGUGCUGUUUCUAUUUGGUGCCAUGGAGGUGGUGUAGUAUGAUGGAAGGUCAUUAGAAGAGUGCCCAUUAGGGCCGCUAUGUAGUAUCUGGUUAUAUCUGGGGCCCCCAUCCCACCCUCUUUAAAGGGCUUAUACAUGGUGGCCGCUGCAAUCCUGGGUCGUUUACCUCCCCAGAUGAACCCGUUUAGCAUGCUUUGGGCCUCUGUAAAGAAUGUCUUUGGCAGGCCUAUCUGUAGUGUUCUGAAUAAAUACUGGAGUUUGGGCAGUACCAUCAUUUUUGCUGCCGCUAUCCUACCAGUCCACGAGAUGUAUUUCCCUUUCCAGCUGUGCAGCUGUUGUUUGAUGUUAC